rnacentral:rRNA from 1 species
GACUCUCGGCAACGGAUAUCUCGGCUCUCGCAUUGAUGAAGAACGUAGCGAAAUGCGAUACCUGGUGUGAAUUGCAGAAUCCCGUGAACCAUCGAGUCUUUGAACGCAAGUUGCGCCCGAAGCCUUCUGGCCGAGGGCACGCCUGCCUGGGCGUCACGCA